rnacentral:sRNA from 1 species
GCCAGGUGAGCUGGUGCAUGCCUGUAGUUCCAGCUACCUGGGAGGCUGAGGCAGGAGGAUUGCUUGAGCCCAUGAGUUUGAGACCAGCCUGGGCAAUAUAGGGAGACUGUCUCAA